rnacentral:rRNA from 1 species
AUUGAACGCUGGCGGCAGGCCUAACACAUGCAAGUCGAACGAGGGGCGGACGGGUGAGUAAUGUCUGGGAAACUGCCCGAGGGAGGGGGAUAACUACUGGAAACGGUAGCUAAUACCGCAUACCAUCGGAUGUGCCCAGAUGGGAGUAGCUAGUAGGUGGGGUAAUGGCUCCCCUAGGCGACGAUCCCUAGCUGGUCUGAGAGGAUGACUAGCCAGACUGCAACUUAGACACGGUCCAGACGCCGACGGGAGGCAGCAGUGGGGGAUAUUGCACAAUGGGCGCAAUCCUGAUGCAGCCAUGCCGCGUGUAUGAAGAAGGCCUUCGGGUUGUAAAGUACUUUCAGCGGGGAGGCGUUACGCGCAGAAGAAGCACCGGCUAACUCCGUGCCAGCAGCCGCGGUAAUUC